GAGUUUGAUCCUGGCUCAGAACGAACGCUGGCGGCAGGCCUAAUACAUGCAAGUCGAGCGCGCCUUCGGGCGAGCGGCGGACGGGUUAGUAACGCGUGGGAAUGUGCCCUUCACUGCGGAAUAGCCUCUGGAAACGGAGAGUAAUACCGCAUACGCCCUUAGGGGGAAAGAUUUAUCGGUGAAGGAUCAGCCCGCGUCUGAUUAGAUAGUUGGUGGGGUAAUGGCCUACCAAAUCUACGAUCAGUAGCUGGUUUGAGAGGAUGAUCAGCAACACUGGGACUGAGACACGGCCCAGACUCCUACGGGAGGCAGCAGUAGGGAAUCUUGGACAAUGGGCGCAAGCCUGAUCCAGCCAUGCCGCGUGAGUGAAGAAGGCCUUAGGGUCGUAAAGCUCUUUCGCUAGGGAUGAUAAUGACAGUACCUAGUAAAGAAACCCCGGCUAACUCCGUGCCAGCAGCCGCGGUAAUACGGAGGGGGUUAGCGUUGUUCGGAAUUACUGGGCGUAAAGCGCGCGUAGGCGGAUUGGAAAGUUGGGGGUGAAAUCCCAGGGCUCAACCCUGGAACUGCCUUCAAAACUAACAGUCUAGAGUUCGAGAGAGGUGAGUGGAAUUCCGAGUGUAGAGGUGGAAUUCGUAGAUAUUCGGAGGAACACCAGUGGCGAAGGCGGCUCACUGGCUCGAUACUGACGCUGAGGCGCGAAAGUGUGGGGAGCAAACAGGAUUAGAUACCCUGGUAGUCCACACCGUAAACGAUGAAUGCCAGAUGUUGGACAGCAUGCUGUUCAGUGUCACACCUAACGGAUUAAGCAUUCCGCCUGGGGAGUACGGUCGCAAGAUUAAAACUCAAAGGAAUUGACGGGGGCCCGCACAAGCGGUGGAGCAUGUGGUUUAAUUUCGAGCGACGCGCAGAACCUUUACCACCCUUGACAUCCUGUGUUAUAUUCAGAGAUGGAUAGUUCCCUUCGGGGACGCAGUGACAGGUGCUGCAUGGCUGUCGUGUAGAGGUGGAAUUCGUAGAUAUUCGGAGGAACACCAGUGGCGAAGGCGGCUCACUGGCUCGAUACUGACGCUGAGGCGCGAAAGUGUGGGGAGCAAACAGGAUUAGAUACCCUGGUAGUCCACACCGUAAACGAUGAAUGCCAGAUGUUGGACAGCAUGCUGUUCAGUGUCACACCUAACGGAUUAAGCAUUCCGCCUGGGGAGUACGGUCGCAAGAUUAAAACUCAAAGGAAUUGACGGGGGCCCGCACAAGCGGUGGAGCAUGUGGUUUAAUUCGAAGCGACGCGCAGAACCUUACCAACCCUUGACAUCCUGUGUUAUAUUCAGAGAUGGAUAGUUCCCUUCGGGGACGCAGUGACAGGUGCUGCAUGGCUGUCGUCAGCUCGUGUCGUGAGAUGUUCGGUUAAGUCCGGCAACGAGCGCAACCCACAUCUUUAGUUGCCAGCAGUUCGGCUGGGCACUCUAAAGAAACUGCCCGUGAUAAGCGGGAGGAAGGUGUGGAUGACGUCAAGUCCUCAUGGCCCUUACGGGUUGGGCUACACACGUGCUACAAUGGUGGUGACAAUGGGUUAAUCCCAAAAAGCCAUCUCAGUUCGGAUUGGGGUCUGCAACUCGACCCCAUGAAGUCGGAAUCGCUAGUAAUCGCGUAACAGCAUGACGCGGUGAAUACGUUCCCGGGCCUUGUACACACCGCCCGUCACACCAUGGGAGUUGGUUUUACCCGACGACGGUGCGCUAACCCUUACGGGAAGCAGCCGGCCACGGUAGGAUCAGCGACUGGGGUGAAGUCGUAACAAGGUAGCCCUAGGGGAACCUGGG
rnacentral:rRNA from 1 species